GUUGUAAACCUCUUUUAGUAGGGAAGAAGCGAAAGUGACGGUACCUGCAGAAAAAGCACCGGCUAACUACGUGCCAGCAGCCGCGGUAAUACGUAGGGUGCAAGCGUUGUCCGGAAUUAUUGGGCGUAAAGAGCUCGUAGGCGGUUUGUCGCGUCUGCUGUGAAAUCCCGAGGCUCAACCUCGGGCUUGCAGUGGGUACGGGCAGACUAGAGUGCGGUAGGGGAGAUUGGAAAUCCUGGUGUAGCGGUGGAAUGCGCAGAUAUCAGGAGGAACACCGAUGGCGAAGGCAGAUCUCUGGGCCGUAACUGACGCUGAGGAGCGAAAGCAUGGGGAGCGAACAGGAUUAGAUACCCUGGUAGUCCAUGCCGUAAACGUUGGGCGCUAGAUGUAGGGACCUUUCCACGGUUUCUGUGUCGUAGCUAACGCAUUAAGCGCCCCGCCUGGGGAGUACGGCCGCAAGGCUAAAACUCAAAGGAAUUGACGGGGGCCCGCACAAGCGGCGGAGCAUGCGGAUUAAUUCGAUGCAACGCGAAGAACCUUACCAAGGCUUGACAUACACCGGAAACGGCCAGAGAUGGUCGCCCCCU
rnacentral:rRNA from 1 species